GCGGACCAAACGGGCGAGCUGCUGGGCAAGGCGCGCGUCUCUACUCUCCAGGCAGUUUUGGCCCCUAGUUUUCUGCUGAACGCGAACCAUGUCCAUGCCGAACCCCCGCGCACACCACGCCAGCGGGGGUGGAGACGAAGGCGGCGCUGGCCGCGGCAAGUGACUCGGCAUAAGCAGCGCAGGAUCGCCGUCGUCCAUCCCCACCGCAGAAUCGACUGGCGAUUACAAAAUAGUGGACAAGAGUUAUAUGGUUUGAGUGCAUUAAUUUAGAAGAUUCGUCAUGUUCAAGCACUAGGAGUAUUUUCAGGAUGUCCGGUGCGAUUGAAAUGAUGACUUCUUGCAGGUAGUGCAGAGAGACUGAUAGUUGAUGUGGCAUGACAGCUCAGUAGUUCACUGCCCAUAGACAUAAUGUGAUAAUGCUCAUGUUUUCACACCUCACUAUGACAGAACUUGGUGCAUUAAGACUCUGUCUGGUAAGAUUCUAAAUGGUAGCAACUGCUUUUAUUCAAAUUACUCACAUUACAUUAUCCUGCAUUCCAAUGUACUACAGAAUUACAACUACCUUUCAAAUAGGUUCGCAAGUGCUCAGCAAUCUUGACUGUUAAAUAGAUUUUAGUGUCUUAGAAUGCUCUCAAAACUCUAAAUGCCAAUAACUGUAUGGAGAUCUCUGAAUCAUUUCACACAUACACUUCUGUCCUUCCAACUUCUCUUGACAACGGUCAAGUAUCCUUGAUUGUACAUGGUUGAGCUUGAUGUUGUAUUUUCCUCCUUGGUGGUUCUUACCAGAUGUGUUGCACAAGGUUGAAUCCCCAACACAAAUGAUAAACUGACACUUCCCCUCUUUAUCUAGAAUCAAAUUUCGACUGUGCAUACAGUUGAGCCAAUUCAUAUGCGUGCUUGGUGCAUUGCAUGUUCUGCGCAUGCCUGGUUGAUAAGAGCUCGGCAAGUGUUGGAAACUAUGUUGCCAUACACCAUAUCUUUGAGUAAAGGAUACCUUGUACUGUGGUAUUAAGAAACUCUGGCAAUUAAUUUACUUUGUCAUGUCAAAUUUACUUUUGCAAAUGGCUAAUCUAUCACGCAGCUAUUGAUCCAUCAUCCAUCCACAGCACUUCUUAUCUGUUCUGAAUAACCUUGUGUGUUCGAUGAAAAAUAUAAGAUUUUUUUUUCACUUGAUCAUCGUAGCAAUAUCCUGAAAUUUGAGCAAAUUUUACCCUUAACAUACCAGUUUGCCUUGGCUGCACAGCUGUCUGUUGACAGCAGCUUCCAAGCUCUACAAUCUUUAUGGUUCAUAAUAGGCAACUUUCUCAGUUCAUUGAGUGGAUCAAAUCACAAAAAAAAAAGGUGAUGAAUUGGUAAGUAAUCAAAGAAACUAUUUCUCUGUAUGUAUAUAGCACAGGAGCCUAUGAUAUUGUGGUUACUGAGCACUCCAAGUUACUUAUUUUAAUUUCAUAGGGAUAGAACUUUUUAUUCACUAGGGUCCAUCCUCCAAGUUCCCUUUUUUAUAUUUCUUGGGCCCCUGCAGAAUCACUCCCAGAAUAGUGGAUUUGGUCUCCUGGGUCGAGUUUCCUGGAGCUAAGCAUCUUUGCUGCCGGUACCACAAUAGAUCUGCUGGCUUUUGGCCGUCAGCAGGAGCAGAAGGCUGUUUUGAUGGUACAUUUGUUUGAUCUCUAGUCUUAAAGCCAAAGGUCAAUGUUCUGUGCUGCAAAAGGGACAUGGCGACUAACAGAAGUCCAAGAUUCCUUUCUCAUGGAUGGAUGGUCCCAAUUGAGUUGGACGUUUUCGGUGGGAAGCGGACAAACCAAAGCAGGUUCCCGUUUGACACCUAAACUUUCUUAUACAAAAUUACUUCUUGCAAGACCUUUUCCAACAUAACACUUACAUAUAAAUCUGCAUCCUUCUAACCCUAACGCUUUCUAGUUGUCUGAAUUGUGCCCAUAUUUUGAAGCACAUGAAAGUCUAUUCCUUGUCAUGGGAGCAAUCAAGAGAUUGCUUAGAUCACUAGCUCACUGUUGAACGUUGAUUGGUUGGCGCGAGCUUUGCUUCGAUCGUGAGGAGUGGGUGAUUUGAUCCAUUCAUCGCUUGUUCUGAGCAUUCGGGGACUAGGUUGUGGCAAGACAAAAUCUGAUUGGAAGUAUUGAUACAGGUUGUGGCAAGACAUUUUUUUAGUUUUAUAAUCCCUUUCUCGAGAAAAAAAGAACUACGUGUUCUGCACGUGACGUACGACAACAAAAAAAACUGGUGCUUUAUAGUAAUAGAAGACAAAACUAUAUCU